GCUGAAGCAUGUGCAGGCUGGGGUGGGAGAGGCCCCUGCAGGGCUCCUGCCAGCAGGACUCCUCAGGCCCCUGGCCCGGCCACAUGGCCUCCAGCUCUGGGCUGCCACCCAGCAGGGGACUCAGGCUGCAGGGCUGCCAGGACAGACAGCCGGCUGGAGGAUCCGGCAUCGGGGGAAGCGAGAUUCUUUAGCUGAACAGGAAUACUCAAC